AUUGCAUUGAUACAAUAAAUCAGUUGGAUGAUAAAUCAACUGAUAUAAAUGAGUUUAGAUCAUCUUUGCUCUCUUAAAAGUCUUGAGUUGGUGAAUAGACAGUUAUCAGCUAUGAUGAAAUGAUCAAGAGAAGCUGACAGGUAGCAUCUUUUCUGUCCCUGUAAAAAGUUCUGAAUCUCUUAGAAGAUUUUAGUGCUUCUCUUCCUGUUAGGAUCAUUUUCAUUAAUGAUACUGCCAAUGUACUUAAAAAUUCAGCCACUUGUUUUAUUGAAAGAUGUUUAACAUAUAAGAAAAAAAUUAAACAAUGGAAAGAGAUUAAGUGAAAAAAGAUAACCUUUCUAUGAUUGUUUUCACUUAGUCUUUUCUCUCUUUUGAAAUUCUCAUUAGUAACUCCCUUCUAUGAGAUUGAAGCAAUUCAUCCACAUUAGCCUCAUCUAUUGUUCAUAUCAAAUUGUUGUUGCAUUGGCAAUGAUAUCAUUCAUUGAACUGGAAAGUUCAUCUUCAGGUUCGACGUCACGAAUGAAAUUGAACGAGAUUGAACACAAGUUCAUCUUCAGGUUCAAUGAAAAGGAUAACCUUUUCCCCUUUCAUUGUAUAUAUUACUUUCUAGCCAGAGGCUUACUAAGUAGGAUUAUCAUAGAAUAUCCAUAUCUACAGUGGAGUUUUUUAGUCUCUUAGAGUUAAGUGGUGAAACCCUUUCAAAAUAUCAUAGGAUUACUUGUACCUGUAGAAAGUAUAGUAAAGUAUGAUAAGCUCAUACCUAUAAAAAGUAUAGUAGAUCAACCAUCAGGUGAAGAAUGGGGUUCAGUAUUAAUGUCCAAAAUUGCACUACCUUUAAAUGACAUAAUUUCUUUUUCUAGCACUUAGGUAGGAUACAAAGCUUUAUUACAAAGUGCUAGAAAAAGAAAUUGUGGUGUUCAAUAUUCUGGGCCGAGAUCCAUCCUAAAAAAUUUAGUCACAAAAUAUAGAAUUAAGCCAUAUUUCCUAGAAUGGAGAUGCAGUAAAAAUCAAUAUGACCAUCUAGCUGAUUGGUGAUUGAAGCCAUUUUUUUUUUUAAUAUGCAUUAUAGUG
rnacentral:lncRNA from 1 species